AGGAGGAGGAGGAGGUGGAGGGGAGAGAGAGAGAGAGGCGAGAUCCACCUCCGCGCGAAAUAAUGGGGAUGAUAAUAAAAACUGGGGGGAAAACCCGUCCGAGGGAAGCUGAAUGGACGGAGCCAGAGAGACGUCACGGGCAGCCGCAGCCAUGAAGACUGAGCGCUCCAGCCUCCAGCAGCUCACUCUGUCUCCAUCUGCCGAGCCGCUCGCUGCUGCUGCUGGAGAGAGGACGCUGCAGAGACGCGCAGACGACGGCGUCAGAGCUCGGCCCAUGUCACGCCGCCUGCAGCUUGAGAGGAUGGGUAGCCUUAGGGGUUGGUUGUUAUCUUUGGUUAUCUAGCUGUAUGAGUGAUGUACAUUCUUCAUAAAGCUAGAUAACCGAAAGUAACAAGAAUCCCAUUACACUCCUGAAAAGGCAUCAAGACCCCAACUUCCUUCAAGAAAACGCAAGAGCUGGAACACGAGAGAAGAAAGCGGAUGGAUUUAGAAGGAGAUUGGAGCCAAACUUUCAAAAAGGCUAACCACCAGCAGCACAUCUCUGAAGGAAAGCUGGCAAAAGGAGACUGAAAAACAGAGAAGACGGAGGAGGAGGGGUUGCUGUUGAUUCUGCCCUCCCUCUCUGCUCGCCCUCCUCUGCAUCGCCUCUUCCCUCCUCCUCCUCCUCCCUUCCUCCUCCGCUCCAUCCUCAGCAGACUGCCCCUUUUUCCUGUACAGCGAGACGCAGCCCGCGCCACCAUCUUAGAGCAACACUGGCAUGAAAUGGAAGUGGAAAGACCAGUCAGUGCAGGCGUUGAUGCAGGCUGAUGUGAGGCUGACGAAGAAGAGGAGCGGUGGGACUCGUCAUUCUGCAGCAUUUUGAUUCUUUUCUGCAGGGACUCGACAAGGAAGAUGUCCGACUGUCUGCAUGACCCAUGUCUUGAUUCUGGGACUUCUCUUCAAUAUUGCUCUCUCUUUGGUGAUGCAUAUUUGACCCAAAAGUCUAGCAAGAGAUGAGCAAACAUCGCAGACGACUCGGACUUUUGAAAAUGAUGCUGAAGGGAAAAUAUCAGUCGCUUCAGUGGUGUAUGAACUGUCCCUCAAAUGUGACUUUUUCAGAUCUUUUUUCUUAUCUGUUAACCUUCAUAGAGUACUAUUUACACAUGUAAACGUAAAAAAUGUUAAAAUGGUGGGAAAAUACUCAAGAAAGAGGAAAAAUUGUCCAAACUUGUGACUUUUUCUCAUAUUUUUGUUCGGUUUGUUUCUAAUUCCAAGCUAAACAAUGAUAUUGAUAUGAAGCAGUAUGCAUGUCCUUAUCUAACAUGUAUUUGUUGAGUUGUAGCCCACGUUUAGUUUGAUUUCUGUUCAGUUGUAGUUGCUAGGACUCAAAGACACGUGAAUGUGAGACCCACGGCAGCAGUGAAUAAUACUGCACUGUGAUUGGACAGCUCCGUGUGUCGGCUGACACAAUGGCGAAGGAGUGAGCUGUCGUCUUUAUACUCUAUGCAACUGUUUCAUCUUUUAUUUUACUUCUUCUUUCUUUUAAAUCCCAGCUGGGUGGAGUCCUUUUCAUCCUCAUCGUCUGGAUUUUUAUUUUUGGGCUACCAGUUUGUCGACAUUUCUUUAAACAUCAUGAAAAGAAGCCUACAUUUCCCGCCGUUAAUGCACAGAAAUGACAGGAGUUUGUGUGACAGAUGACAGAGAACGGCUCCUAUCAAUCUCAUAUUUGCAGCCUUAACAGGCUUUGAUUUGCAGCCGCAGUCUGAGCAAACUCACAUUUAAUAUUCCCGAUGGCAGAAGUGUGUUUGAUCAGCAGGAAGUAGCUGCACACAUCACGCCACACUAUUAAAUCCUUCCCAGCAGGCUUUGCAGCUGGGGUUCAUAGCGGUUACCUGCCUGUGUGUGAUGAUACAGCUCGGGUGAGACAUGACAAAUACAUUGGCUUCAAACACCGCCUUAAUUUCCUGUCCUUGACAUUAGCGCGCACACACACACACUCACACACUCAAAUGCAAUAAAGCGAGCACUAUCGCAGCCUAAUUCAUUCUAUAUUAAUUUUCGGGAAGUGGCAAAUUUUUUAUUACGAUUGAUAAUCUAUGCAAAUCUUUUAAAUAUGACUUUAAACAAUCUAUGUCUGCGCCAAGCUUUUUGCAAUUGAUUCAAGGGAGACUAUCUUGGCCUAAUUUAGAAAAUGUAUUCUUUUGAUAAUCAUGCACAUCCCAGUGCUCGAGACAAUUACUUAUCUGCCUGGAUAAGCUUGAAAUUAUGUUUUUAAUCUUUAGCAGAAAAAAGUCCCUCUUCUGAUAUCAUAAAAAGCAUGAAUUGUGGUUGAAAAUAAUUAAAUGGCUUGCACUAAAUCUCUUAAUGCAGAUCAAACAUAUCUAUUCCGCUGUGCUUUCUGCAGAGCGUGUUUUAAAGAAGCAGCGAUGUUUGCAAUCUGUGGACGAAUGUUCACCACAUGUGCCUUUGUAUGGAAACUGUUGGACUAUUAAUAAAAGUUUACACUGAAAACAA